UUUUUGGAGGGGCCAAUCUGGUGCCAGCAGCCGCGGUAAUUCCAGCUCCAAUAGCGUAUAUUAAAGUUGUUGCAGUUAAAAAGCUCGUAGUUGAACCUUGGGCCUGGCUGGCCGGUCCGCCUCACCGCGUGUACUGGUCCGGCCGGGCCUUUCCUUCUGGGGAACCUCAUGCCCUUCACUGGGCGUGUUGGGGAACCAGGACUUUUACUUUGAAAAAAUUAGAGUGUUCAAAGCAGGCCUUUGCUCGAAUACAUUAGCAUGGAAUAAUAGAAUAGGACGUGUGGUUCUAUUUUGUUGGUUUCUAGGACCGCCGUAAUGAUUAAUAGGGAUAGUCGGGGGCAUCAGUAUUCAAUCGUCAGAGGUGAAAUUCUUGGAUUGAUUGAAGACUAACUACUGCGAAAGCAUUUGCCAAGGAUGUUUUCAUUAAUCAGUGAACGAAAGUUAGGGGAUCGAAGACGAUCAGAUACCGUCGUAGUCUUAACCAUAAACUAUGCCGACUAGGGAUC
rnacentral:rRNA from 1 species